AACGCACGAGACCUGCGGACCUGCGGAAGGAUCAUUACUGAGUGAGGGCCCUCUGGGUCCAACCUCCCACCCGUGUUUAUUGUACCUUGUUGCUUCGGCAGGCCCGCCUCACGGCCGCCGGGGGGCUUUCCGCCCCCGGGCCCGCGCCUGCCGGAGACAAUCUUGAACGCUGUCUGAAGAAUGCAGUCUGAGCGAUUAAGCAAAAUUAGUUAAAACUUUUAGCAAUGGAUCUCUAGAUCG
rnacentral:misc_RNA from 1 species